CCUGAUUGCAGUAACAGUGAAAAAAGGACUAACCUGCAAACACCAGCAUGGUGAUGAGGAGAGCAACCGCGUGGACUCUGUAGCUGGGCUUAAUGUUUUCCACUUGCAGGAUGGUCAGCUGGAAAACGACAGAGAACAGCAGCUCUAUGCAGAACGCCUGCACCUCUGUCGUCUGCAUGGGGUUGCCACAACCCUGAGUGAGCACUCCCGAAUGGGAUUCCGCCAUCUCCAGCCUCCAGAUAAAGUGCAUAAAGACCCUGGCCAACACCGCAGCGACGAACUGCGCUCCGAUCUUCAGUCCCUUCGCCCUGACUGAGGUCCGUCCGCCCCACAGGGGCUGCAGGGUGCCACAAGGGUUGCACGUGCUGCCAGGCAGCGUCAAGCCGUGCAGGACGGUGAAGCCGUAGGUGAGGGUGAGGGCGGUGUGCGGCCUGGGCUCCGUGUUGCCCAGCAGGCUGAGCUCGUUGGUGCAGGCGCACACCUGGAAGGUGCUCAGCAGCUCCAGGAGCAACGAGCAAAGAUCUGGGUGUUUGUACAGGCGGCGAAGAGCCAAACUCCGGCACAGGCCCACGGCUGCCACGACGGCCACCAUCAGCCCCAGCGACGUCCAGAUGCCGCCCGCAGCCAUGGCCACAGUCCCACUCGCUGAGUGACUGGAAAAAGGAGUUCGCUCCGCUCCAGCCUCACUGCCUGCAGGGAGAAAGGAAGAAAGAGGGAGGGAAAAUAGCAACACUUGGCCUUACAAGGUUUGGCCAACGUACAAUGAAAAAGGCAUUGGGAUACGCAUGAAAAAAGAGGAGGAAAAAGAAUUUGAGCUGCUAUUUCUAUUAAGAAUGGAUUACUGAGGCCAGGAAAGUCCAGAUCUGAGAGCCAGGCCAUGCUGUGGGCAGGGCAGCUGGGAAAGAGACAGCAACCACAGCACACCCUGUGAUUUCUGCAGGAUUACCAAUGGCUGGAGAUGAGUUUUCAAGAAAUGAAGCUCUUCAGAUCACUGAGAAAACAAAGUCCAAGUCAAAACCAGGAACCAGUACACCUCCACAGUGCAGGACAAAUCUGCCCAUCUCUUUAUGCUUGAAUUAGCAGCUUGCCUCAAAACUGGGAUCAGAGCAUAAGCGUGGAUCUGAACACUCCUGCUAACUGUGGGGACAAGUUUCCUGUGAGCUUUACAUCGUGGGGAGAGCAAACCCCAAUCUCCUGCAGUAUGAGGUAACAUCCCUGCGAUACGCACAUCCUGCUGUGAAGCACAGCAGCAGAGCAGAGCCCGUUUCCCUUCUUUCCUUUUUUGGAUCUGCGUGCACACGGUCCCUAAUGGAGCCGGUUCUGAGGAUACCAAGAACAGAAACCAAGUCACUGCAGCGCCUCACGACUACCGGCGAUCCCCUUCCUCGUCGUUAUCACCGUAAUCGCGAACCAUCCUUGACGCCCCUCACCAACAGCAGCUCCAGGUACCGGACACCGAACGAUCAGCCCAUCUCAAAGCUCCAACACAACCCACCGACCGCAAACUUCUCCCCCAGCUCUGGGCUGCCCACCUUGGUGGAGGGGGCGGACCCUUGGACCCCUCCGGAGCCAAUG